GUGUGUGAUCAGCAGCACCUGGGAUUUCCUGAUAUAAGGGUUUCCAGGGCAGAGUCACCUUGCUCUCGACGGUGGAAUAGCUACACGAGUGAUAGGCCUGGUUGUGUGGGUUAGACUAGGGACCACUGGAGCCUAUCAAGAGUCUGCUAUGCUUCCUUAUACCCCGACUGUGGACAGUUUGCGCUAACGGCCCCCCUCUACCCGGAUGGCCUACUUUGUUAUGUGGACUCCCCCACUGUGGUGUGACCAGGAGACUCUUCAGGUUUAAUUUGGAUGUUCUUGCAGACCUUAAACAGCCUAAUUGAUACUCUGAAUAACCCCACAUACCUUGAAUGCCUAUUUCUAAUGGAUUUGUAACCUUCCACUCUGGUGUUAUGUGUAGCCCACUAUUAUGUCCUAACCAAUCAAUACUACUCUACAGUGACCAACAAAAAUGUUCUAUUACUUUAACAAUUAUUGAUA